rnacentral:tRNA from 1 species
GGGGGUGUAGCUCAUAUGGGAGAGCGCUCGCUUUGUAUGCGAGAGGUGCGGGGAAGGGUUCAAUUCCCUGCACCUCCA